rnacentral:lncRNA from 1 species
UCUCUCUCUCCUCUCUUCUCUCUUCUCUAUUCUCUCUGCCUUCUCUCUAAUUCUCCUCCCCUCUUCUCUCCUUCCCCUUCUCUAUCGCCGCCGCGUCAUUGCCGCCGCCGCGACUAUUUUUUUUUUUAUAACUUUUUUCUUUCUUGGCCGCCUCUUCCCCGUCACCCUUUAAAUUUCCAGCGACGACGGUCGCUGCCUAUAUCUCACAUCUCCUCUCCCGGUCAUCACCAUGGAAAGAAAGAAAAGGUAAAGAUUUCUGAGCUCUUCUCUCUGUUUUUUCGAUUUCAUUAGACUUGCAUGUCAUUUAGGGAGGCUCCGGCGAGCCCUCCGGUGACAUGCAUGUCCUGCUCCGUAGAUCUAAGUUUGAAGUCCAUUUUUUUGAUUUUGUGAGUUCUAUUUUCUUGUUUUUAUUUUUUGUUGGAUGCAGAAAUCGAUGGCAGCAGCGGAUAGAGAGGAAACAACUUGGUAAAAAGUUUAGUAUAUUUCUUUAGCUGAUUUUCAUUUCGUUGGUUGUGUGGGAAUAAGCUAAAUUUUCAAAUUAGGUCUUAUUUUAAAAAGUGGUUUUUUUGCUAAUGUAAAAGAAAUUUCAGCAACUUCAGUUAAGUUUUGAAUCUUAUUUUAGGGUUUGCUAGCAUGUUUACCAACAUGAAACGUUCCCUUGAUUAGUCAUAAUGAAUAUUCGAGGAUGAUUUUUAAGAGAGUAUAAGUGCCACAAAAUGUAUGUAUGAAUAUUGCAUGAAUGCUUUUGAAUAGGAAUGUUUGGAUGAUUACCUGUAAAUCAAAUCUUCUUGCUUUUUGUCGUAUAUCAGGUAGCGACCCUUAUGCGAGUGACGACGAAGCGAAUGACGACAGAUGUUUUUAGUGUUUAGUCUUAAGUUAUUUGUGCUGUAAUAACUUUUUUCUUUUUUGGACUGUAUUUUUAGGGGAUUAUGGGUCACAUUCUUGGGAAAAAGCUCUCAUCCCAAACCCCCUCCUUGGAUGUCCUUUUAAAUCAAAAAAAGAGGCUGCCACCUCCCCUUUCUCCGACCAUAAUUUGCGACGUUUUCUAACAAUACAAGAGAGGUGGCAGCCUCUUAGUUAAUAAUAGUAACGGGCCCAAAAUUGGGUCUGAAAUCGGGCCCGAAAAGUAUUAACACUAAAAUUCGAAAGCCCGGACAAAUUUGGUUACUACAACUUCGACGACGAUGAUGAGCAGAUCUCGUCGGACGGUGAUGGCAAUGAUGAU